rnacentral:rRNA from 1 species
CCUACGGGAGGCAGCAGUGAGGAAUAUUGGUCAAUGGGCGAGAGCCUGAACCAGCCAAGUCGCGUGAAGGAUGACGGCCCUACGGGUUGUAAACUUCUUUUGUCAGGGAGCAAUUGAGUCCACGUGUGGGGUUAGCGAGAGUACCUGAAGAAAAAGCAUCGGCUUACUCCGUGACAGCAGCCGCGGUAAUACGUAGGAUGCGAGCGUUACCCGGAUUUAUUGGGUUUAAAGGGUGCGUAGGAGGAAUAUCAAGUCAGCGGUAAAAAUUCGGGGCUCAACCCCGUCGUGCCGUUUAAACUGGGGUUCUUGAGUGGGCGAGAAGUAUGCGGAAUGCGUGGUGUAGCGGUGAAAUGCAUAGAUAUCACGCAGAACUCCGAUUGCGAAGGCAGCAUACCGGCGCCCAACUGACGCUGAAGCACGAAAGCGUGGGUAUCGAACAGGAUUAGAUACCCCAGUAGUC